GACGAACGCUGGCGGCGUGCUUAACACAUGCAAGUCGAACGGAAAGGCCCUGCUUUUGUGGGGUGCUCGAGUGGCGAACGGGUGAGUAACACGUGAGUAACCUGCCCUUGACUUUGGGAUAACUUCAGGAAACUGGGGCUAAUACCGGAUAGGAGCUCCUGCUGCAUGGUGGGGGUUGGAAAGUUUCGGCGGUUGGGGAUGGACUCGCGGCUUAUCAGCUUGUUGGUGGGGUAGUGGCUUACCAAGGCUUUGACGGGUAGCCGGCCUGAGAGGGUGACCGGCCACAUUGGGACUGGGAUACGGCCCAGACUCCUACGGGAGGCAGCAGUGGGGAAUAUUGCACAAUGGGCGGAAGCCUGAUGCGGCAACGCCGCGUGCGGGAUGACGGCCUUCGGUUUGUAAACCGCUUUCGCCUGUGACGAAGCGUGAGUGACGGUAAUGGGUAAAGAAGCACCGGCUAACUACGUG
rnacentral:rRNA from 1 species